rnacentral:tRNA from 2 species
GCACCGGUGGUGGAAUUGGUAGACACGCCAUCUUGAGGGGGUGGUGUCUUUAAAGACGUGUGGGUUCAAAUCCCACUCGGUGCA